rnacentral:rRNA from 1 species
UGAGGAAUUUUCAGCAAUGGGCGAAAGCCUGACGGAGCAAUACCGCGUGAGGGAUGAAGGAUUUUGGUCUGUAAACCUCUUUUCUCAAGAAAGAAGUUCUGACGGUACUUGAGGAAUAAGCAUCGGCUAACUCCGUGCCAGCAGCCGCGGUAAUACGGGGGAUGCAAGCGAUAUCCGGAAUCAUUGGGCGUAAAGCGCCUGUAGGUUGUUUAAUAAGUCUGUUGUUAAAGACUAGGGCUUAACCCUAGGAAAGCAAUGGAAACUACUAGACUAGAGUAUGGUAGGGGUAGAGGGAAUUUCUAGUGUAGCGGUGAAAUGCGUAGAUAUUAGAAAGAACACCGGUGGCGAAGGCGCUCUACUGGACCAUUACUGACACUCAGAGGCGAAAGCUAGGGUAGCAAAAGGGAUUAGAUACCCCUGUAGUCCUAGCCGUAAACGAUGGAUACUAGAUGUUGCGUUUUUAUGCAGUAUCCUAGCUAACGCGUUAAGUAUCCCGCCUGGGGAGUACGCUCGCAAGGGUGA